rnacentral:misc_RNA from 1 species
AAGUCGUAACAAGGUUUCCGUAGGUGAACCUGCGGAAGGAUCAUUAACACUUAUUAUUUCAUAUCAAACACAUUGUGAACUGUUGACAACCUCUGAUACGUUAUGGUGGUCUUCUUUGCAAGAGUAUGCUAUAGGCAGUCUCGAGACGCCCUUCAAAGGGGCGGCCCAGGCUCUCUAUCAUAUCAUGCUUCUGACUUGAUCCUGUAUAGGAUGAGGUCCGAGCGCAUGCUAUCAUAUCGUUAUCAUUACUUUUAACAUCUAUUUUUCUUUUAACACCUAACCCUCCUUAUCAUCUCUUCUCUUCUCGUGUCCUCUACUGUACUGCAUUGUAUGCAGUAUGGUCGAGUGUACGAUAAGACAACCUUGAAUGAUAAUCUAAACACAACUCUUACCAGCGGAUAUCUCGGUUCCC